UACGGGGGGGGGCAAGCGUUGUCCGGAAUCACUGGGCGUAAAGGGCGCGUAGGUGGCGACCCAAGUCGAUGGUGAAAGCUCGCCGCUCAACGGCGAGUCGGCCACCGAUACUGGGUUGCUGGAGCACUGUAGAGGCAGAUGGAAUUCCGGGUGUAGCGGUGGAAUGCGUAGAGAUCCGGAAGAACACCGGUGGCGAAGGCGGUCUGCUGGGCAGUUGCUGACACUGGAGGCGCGACAGCGUGGGGAGCAAACAGG
rnacentral:rRNA from 1 species